AUAAUCAAACCAAUUCCUCAACUCAGAAUUCUUUAAUUCUAACUGAAUAUCUUGUAUGUAUUGGGCUACAGUUAGUUAGUUGUUUUUUUUACAAGAACCUUGAGAUCCACUAAGAAAGCCUGAAAUGUCAUCUCUGAACUAGAAUAAAAAGAUAUGCUCUUGUGUAUUCUGAAAACAUGCUAGUUUCUGGGCCAACUCCAAUGUACUGACAGCAGCCUAUCCUCUUGCAGAUGAGAGCCUGGGACACAGGACACAAUGCAGAGCCUCCCUCACCUAGUCCUACAGUCAUAUUUUCUCUUCACAACUGGUGUUCCCGAAUACCAUUUUUUUCUGAACAGAUUCUCCUGGACUCACCGCAGCCAUGACCUUCCCUCUCACAAGACCGAGAGGAACAGAACGAAACUCCUCCCAGCUUCGAAAGCUGACGUCAGAAUGCUGAGGCAUCAUGGGAACAACUUAACCAGAUUCUCCUGGACUCACCGCAGCCAUGACCUUCCCUCUCACAAGACCGAGAGGAACAGAACGAAACUCCUCCCAGCUUCGAAAGCUGACGUCAGAAUGCUGAGGCAUCAUGGGAACAACUUAACCAGUUAAGUUCCAAACCUCACAAGUUCCAAACCAAAAAAAGAAACACAUCUACAUUUUGUGUGCUGUGUCAAUUGAGAAUAUAGUUGCCAAAAAGAAUGAUACCCAAAUAAAUUACAUUUAUUUUCAA